AUGUGUGAAUUUCAAUCUAAGGGGAAGGAGUUUUACUACAUUCAUGAUUCUUGCACGGCCAAUCAGCUUAAGGAGAGAUCCAAUAAUAUUGUUGUGACCAUUGUGGAGGGUGAAAUGUCGACCACGUAUAUGGAGUUACAUUUAUCUGACUACCUUGCCACAGGAUGGCGCUGCUCAGCCCAUGCCAUUGGUCCUGGGGUGUUCGUGGUCCGAUUUCCUAAUUCUCGAGUUGUUGCUCAAAUCUGCUAUGUGGGUACUAUUAUUCUGGAAAAAAGUGGUGCUGUUAUACAUGCCACUCCUUGGUCCUCGGCUGUGGGAUCGAAUGGGGUUAUGGAAACUACUUGGGUGAAAGUGAUCAAUGUGCCUCUGGAUAAGAGAAGUGAGAGAAAUAUAGCUUUUGUUGCCUCGCUGGUGGGUGUUCCCCUAGAGAUUGAUGCUGCAACUUUGCAUCAUCCUGCUUCUGUCCGUGUGAAACUAGGAUGCAGGAAUGUUGAUGCUAUACCUGGGGUAGCUGAGGCAGUCCUAGGGGGGCAUUUCUAUGAUUUUUUCUAUGAGGUGGAGCAGGUGCUAGUUAGGGAUCCAAACCAUGAAAAACAUGAGAUAAAUGUGUCUCCUAAUCCAGAUGGAGGGAAUCCUAAAAAAUCUAUGCAGGAUGUGACUCCUGGAGCUCAGAUGGGCAGCUCUUCGACUAGGCUUGGGGAGAAAUCUCUCCCCAUUCCCCAACGAGAAGUACCUGACUCGAUUCGGGAGUCACAUGAGAGUAUGUAA
rnacentral:rRNA from 1 species